AAAUUUCAUUACUUGAACGACAAAGAAAUACAAGACCGGUUUGGUUUAAGAGACACACAAACGACACCGUAUAAGUAGUAGACAUCGUUAAAUAUUAAAGGCCGGUUUGGUUUAAGUGGAAAAAUAUAACCGUUAGAAAAUGCAGGAUGAGCGGUUCAAAUUCGAAAAAAUCGAACCAAGUUUUAAAAUAUAACCGUUAGAAAACGUGUCUUCAGUAAACGCCUCCGUUAAUCAAGUAUAGACGCGUUAAGAAUAAUCGUGUGCGUGUCAAUUUAUUUCCACAUUGUUCACAGUUCCUCUUUCUGGGAAGGAUUCUCUCGAUCGAUUCUUCCAAAAUUUGCAAAACUGGAAAAAAAUCCGAUUGCAAUCUUAGAUUAGUUGAUUCCGCCUAAAACCCGAUGUGAUUGUUUGGGCUCCUCUCACUCGUCAUCGUUGAGAUGAUAUAUUAUCGCUUGGAGGAGGAAACCCACCGGCCUUUUAGUUGCUGCUUUACAUACCUCGAAGCUUACUCCGCAUGAAACCAUCGUCACCAAGGUAUGUGCUUCAGAAGGUGUUCAAAACCAAAUUGUUCAAGAUUUUGAGGAGAUUUCAAGUGUAGCGGACUUUUGUGGCAGGUAUGUGCUUUUCAAACUUGCUUGUAAUUAGUUUCUGAAAUUCAAACAUAUGUGAAAUCAAGAUUAAUUUCAUUUCCACUAGACACGUGCUUGAAUAAGCAUCCAAAAUCUUAACAUAUUUAUGUCUUAGCCUUUAUACUUAUGUGAGAGCUUGAAGUAUAUAUGCCAAUAUUGAUUUUCUCAGGUAUGUGCUUCUCUUAUGGAUUCCCAAAAAAGAUUUUUCUAAUGUUUACAAUUCUUUGGUGAAGUAUGGAUUUAUCACCCUCUUUAUAUUGUAUAACUUUGGAUUUGAAUCAAUGUUUCAGAGUAACCACAUCUCUGUUUCAUGAAGAAAACACUGGUCACUUGAAAUUCUGCAGGUCUAUUUUCUUCUGCAUCAACCGAUUUCAAAUUCUAAUGUGGUGUAUCUCAAACCUCCAUACAUGGGUUCUGCGCAAUCACUUAAAAAUACAAAACAUACAUACAUAAAUACAUACAUGCAUUCAUAUAUACCUACUUUCAUACUGUAUACAUGCAUAAUUUCUUCCAUACGUCAUUGUUUAUUUGCUUUCUUGAUUUUUUGUUUGAUUCUUCUGCUAACUUACUUGCUUCUUUAUUUACCCUUUCAUUCAUACUUCUCCGCUUGCUUGCUUUCUUGAUGUCCUGCUUCUUUAUUGACUUCCCUGAUUCAUUGUUUCACUUAGGCUCCGACUGGUGACCUUUUCGGGAACACGAGGAACGAAUAGGAAAGGAACGUAUAGGAAUAAAAUUGCAGGAAUGAAAAAUAAUGUUUGUUCCUUAUCAAAUUUAACAAGGAAUGUUUUUGUUCUAUAUUUCUCUACAAAAAAGGAAUUGGGAGGAACAAGAAGGAAAAACUAUUCCUUGUGAAUGGUGAUUUUUUUUGGGAAUGAUAAGGAAUUCAGUGUUCCCUUUCGUUCCUUGGUCACCAUUCAAAGCCUUAUUUACUUGCUUUAUUGAUUUGUUGUUUAUUUGUUCCUUGUGUGCUUCUUUCCUUCCUUGUUCCUUGUGUGCUUCUUUCCUUCCUUGUGUGUUUUCUCUUCCUUGCUUCCUUAUGUUUUGUUUUUGUUCCUAUUUGGAUGUGUUUUUGCGUACCUGGUUGUUUAUAUAUAUUCUUUUGCGAUUCCUUACAAGCUUCUUCUUUUUUCCAUCUUUGAUCUUGUGUCUGUCGUUCUGUGGAAACUUAUUGCUGAUAUCCAUCGAUAACCAGCUGAUUUUAUUUUUUAUACUGGUACAUUUAUAUUUUGUGCUUAUGUUGACAGCAAUAAAUAUCGUUUGGAAAGUAGUUAUUAUCUAUAUAUUCUAUGUUUGUACAUUAUAACAUCUCUCAUUUUAUAAAUAGAUAUAUCUUGGAGUUUAUAUAAAUAUUUAUCUCUUUUGACUAACAAUACCUAUUAUCUAUGUUUUGGUGCUUGUGUUCAUUUAUGAAAUGGAUGUAUCUUUGGAGUCUCUUACAGAUAUCUACUUUGGGUGCAAGUAUGACUCAUGUAUAUUCUGGUAGAAUUUUCCUUGAAUCUGGUAUGUACUUGCUUUGCGUCAUGCUUGAAAUCCUUGGUGAUUAUUCCAAAAUAUUACAAUGACAUGAUCCUCAAAAUCUAACUGGUUGUUAUUUGAGUAAUGUUAGAAAUAUGCAUCAUGAUUCUUACAUUUGUGAUUAUUGUGUAAUUUUUUCUCUUUAAAAUGUGUAUCCGUUGACUUGACUUUGAUAAUAUAAUGCUUGGAAAUAUUUUCAGUUAUGGUAUUAGACUAGUAUCUCUCACUUUGUCUUAACAUAUAUAGUUGAUUGGAACUUGGUUUCUUUCUCAAAACAGAGUUCAUUGUCUCUAUGUUUUUUUCUACUUGAAUCUUUUUUAAGUAAUGUUUACUGCUGUUUGCCAAAAUGGGCAAUUUAAUCUCAGCAUGAGUUUUGUUAAUAAACAAUGAUUUAUAUAUUUUUUGGCUUUGUGUUAAGAUUACAAGUUUUUUCAUGUGAACACAUUUGUUUGCUUAUACGACCAUUUUGGUCAUUCUCUGUUAAGAUUAUUUUUUAUCAUGAUAUCCUCGGUGUGGUCGGAUGAUAACCAUUUUUCAUCUUAAACUCUUGUAAUGGUUGGUGUGAUAAGAAAAUAUAAAAUU